UAGGGAAUCUUCCACAAUGGACGCAAGUCUGAUGGAGCAACGCCGCGUGAGUGAAGAAGGUUUUCGGAUCGUAAAGCUCUGUUGUUGGUGAAGAAGGAUAGAGGCAGUAACUGGUCUUUAUUUGACGGUAAUCAACCAGAAAGUCACGGCUAACUACGUGCCAGCAGCCGCGGUAAUACGUAGGUGGCAAGCGUUGUCCGGAUUUAUUGGGCGUAAAGCGAGCGCAGGCGGAAUGAUAAGUCUGAUGUGAAAGCCCACGGCUCAACCGUGGAACUGCAUCGGAAACUGUCAUUCUUGAGUGCAGAAGAGGAGAGUGGAAUUCCAUGUGUAGCGGUGGAAUGAGUAGAUAUAUGGAAGAACACCAGUGGCGAAGGCGGCUCUCUGGUCUGCAACUGACGCUGAGGCUCGAAAGCAUGGGUAGCGAACAGG
rnacentral:rRNA from 1 species